rnacentral:tRNA from 1 species
UGUUUUAUAGUUUAAUAAAAACUUUAAUUUUGUAAAUUAAAAAUUUAAUUAUAAUAUUAAUAUAACAA